rnacentral:lncRNA from 1 species
CGAAGCCUCGACAAACAUUCUUCACCCCGAAUGUCGAUCGAAACCUCUCAAGGCUCUCGUAUCAGCUUUCGCACUUCCCUAGUGAGCAAUAGUUAUCAAAUAAUCAAAAUACGAAGGAUUACAAAUCAUUUCCAAAUCAUAACAUAACAUUUUUUUUUGCUCACAGGGGCAUUUUCGUCAUUUUUGUCGAAAAUCUCGAAACUUG